rnacentral:rRNA from 1 species
GAGUCAGAACAUGGGUGAUAAGGUCCGUGUUCGAAAGGGAAACAGCCCAGACCACCAGCUAAGGUCCCAAAAUAUAUGUUAAGUGGAAAAGGAUGUGGCGUUGCCCAGACAACUAGGAUGUUGGCUUAGAAGCAGCCAUCAUUUAAAGAGUGCGUAAUAGCUCACUAGUCGAGUGACACUGCGCCGAAAAUGUACCGGGGCUAAACAUAUUACCGAAGCUGUGGAUUGUCCUUUGGACAAUGGUAGGAGAGCGUUCUAAGGGCGUUGAAGCAUGAUCGUAAGGACAUGUGGAGCGCUUAGAAGUGAGAAUGCCGGUGUGAGUAGCGAAAGACGGGUGAGAAUCCCGUCCACCGAUUGACUAAGGUUUCCAGAGGAAGGCUCGUCCGCUCUGGGUUAGUCGGGUCCUAAGCUGAGGCCGACAGGCGUAGGCGAUGGAUAACAGGUUGAUAUUCCUGUACCACCUAUAAUCGUUUUAAUCGAUGGGGGGACGCAGUAGGAUAGGCGAAGCGUGCGAUUGGAUUGCACGUCUAAGCAGUAAGGCUGAGUAUUAGGCAAAUCCGGUACUCGUUAAGGCUGAGCUGUGAUGGGGAGAAGACAUUGAGUCUUCGAGUCGUUGAUUUCACACUGCCGAGAAAAGCCUCUAGAUAGAAAAUAGGUGCCCGUACCGCAAACCGACACAGGUAGUCAAGAUGAGAAUUCUAAGGUGAGCGAGCGAACUCUCGUUAAGGAACUCGGCAAAAUGACCCCGUAACUUCGGGAGAAGGGGUGCUCUUUAGGGUUAACGCCCAGAAGAGCCGCAGUGAAUAGGCCCAAGCGACUGUUUAUCAAAAACACAGGUCUCUGCUAAACCGUAAGGUGAUGUAUAGGGGCUGACGCCUGCCCGGUGCUGGAAGGUUAAGAGGAGUGGUUAGCUUCUGCGAAGCUACGAAUCGAAGCCCCAGUAAACGGCGGCCGUAACUAUAACGGUCCUAAGGUAGCGAAAUUCCUUGUCGGGUAAGUUCCGACCCGCACGAAAGGCGUAACGAUUUGGGCA